AAGGGUAUGUGACUCCUCCGUUUGUCUCGCUGUGGCCAGCAGAGGGCUGUAUCCUGAGCAGCAGUGAUGGCCACAGUGAGAAAUACUCCAGAGAGCUGCCAUUGAAAUAUGAAGACUCUUGAUUUGUCUAACCAGGCGUUGUAUAUGUCGGUGUGUUUGCUGGGAUCCAGGUUGAGUGUUGGCUGAAAACACAGGCAGCUCCAGCUGGACAGAUUUGAACUGCCAAGAAAAUCCCAGCUGAAACUAUCUGUGAUAAUAGCGAUUUAAGGAUGACAAUCUCAGUCAUUCUCGGCUCAAACACUUUUGAGCACCCUGAGACUCUGUGGCACUGAUGCUCGGGUUAUUUUGGGAAGGCUGGAUGUGUCUGCUGGAGGGUGUGAGGACGUUUGCUCCCGGUGAGAGUCAGGAGCGAAGCAGGCAGAGGCGGGACGGGCCGGGGGAAGUUUACAAUUGCAGGCCAGGCAUCAGACACACAGCAGCACUAGAGGAGGGGAGAGGUCACCUCAAAGGUCAUUGUUAUCAUCAGAAGUCCAUGAUGCAGUUCUGCAGAGAUCAGAUACGGGGUGUGUGUGUGUGUGUGUGUGUGUGUGUGAUACUCUCAGCUUAUCAUGACAACAACUGAUUUCAUCUGAGAAUGUGAUUGAUAAACAGAGAGAGAAAGAGAGAGAGUCAGAAUGAAAGAAGGAUGGACUUCCUGUAGCUUGAUGCUCAUAUUUCAGGAUAGGGCUGCAUGAUUAAACAAAAUAAAACCAAAAUCACAAUAUGGCUUAACUUAAAUCAAAAAGGCUGUGAUUUAAUUAGCACAUUUAUAUUUUUGUGUGUGUCAGAGUGAAGCGUGACGCUGUGUUCAUUUACACGUGAGCAGCUCAAAAAAAUGGCUUUCUGCUUUCUGCCAAAAUAAAAGCUUUAAGGUUUAAUUUGUACAAAUGAAGAAAUCCAUAAACAGCACUGUUAUUUUUAUAGUUGAUGUUGUUUAUAACAAUAUAAUAAUAUUAUUUUCUUAAAUAUGCAAUUUAGUAUUCUACACUGAAAUAAUAUUUAAUAUUGCAUUUCAUUUAAUACUGCAUUUAACAUUUCAUAAAUAUUCGAAAUCGUGCAGCCCUGUUUUAGGGUAUCCUACGAAAAAAACCCUUGUGUUGUUCCAAACCUGAAAGAUUUUGUCUUCCCACAGCUCUCAAAUCUCUCCAAUUACAUGAAAACUAAUGCUGUCUGUUGUCAUAUCUCAUGUUUUAAACAUAUUUAAUAAAAUACAAAUGAGAUUCUAGAAGUGCAUUUCUUAAACGCAAUAGAAAUGCAAUUCCUUUUAGUGAAAAGUUCUUAAAACCAUCAUUUUAUCUUGUUUUUUUCACUAUAAAGAACAUUUGUGGAAUAGAUGUUAAAGGUUCUUUGUGGAACCCUUGAAGCCAAUAAAGAACCUUUCAUUUCAAGACUGUAUGAUGCUUUUAUGUUGUUUUUUUGGUUGUUAUUUAGUUUAGUCUGUUUUCACUGUAAUGUAUAAAAGCAGUGAAAUCUUUCUUCAAAAACCUGUUCAUACAGGUUUAGAACAACAUCAGUGUCAGUAAAUGAUUUUUGCCCGAUUAUUCACUCCUCUUGAUCUAUUAAAUGUCUCCUACUCCAAGCUAAACCACCAUUUACAUGGGAAUGAAAAGGUGCCGUGAGGAAAACACAGGAAAAAAGGAAGCCAUAAGCCCAUCAGUUCGUUCCUCUGUUACCCAUAAUCCCUCAGGAGCACCCAGAAUCUUCCCCUCUGGGUGCGAAAUGCCUCGUAAA
ensembl:lncRNA